CGUGCCGGCGGGCAAGGUGGUGGCCGGAAGGGGGCGACGGGAGCCGGGGACGGCGGCCGGCUGGGGCGACGAGAGGCGGGGAGCAGAGGCGUACGAGAGAGAAGGGAGACAGAUCGUGGUGGGGGUGGCUGUCAGGAGGAUAAGGGGGAGAGAGAGAGUGGGUGGUGGGGGCGUGGGAUGGGCCGCAUCAGUUUUGCGUUGUGGAGAUGCAUGUGUGGAGCAGAUCAUGCCAUGUCAUCGAUCCGUGUGAUCGAUCCGUGUGGUGUGCUUUCUCUUUGCCGUCCGCCAGCAGACGGCAAAGAAACUGGCCAUUAGGUUGUCCUCGUAAGCCCGCCACCCACCCUCUUUGCCGUCAGCUAGCAGACGGCAAAGCUUCUUUGCCGUCCGCUAGCAGACGGCAAAGAUACGGCUGAUGGCAAACCCUAUCUUUGCCGUCCGCUGCCUCUUUGCCGUCCGCUUUCUGGUGGCUGAUGGCAAAGCCUUCCUUUGCCGUCCGCUGGCUGACGGCAAAUCUGCUGAUUCCAGUAGUGUAUAUAUAUGCAAAAUCAUGUGAAUGUAUGUAUCUCAUAAGUAAAUCCAAUCAAGAUUUAUUGAAUUUUCGGAUGGUUUCCAUGUGGAAGUUACAACAAUUUACAAGUCUCAGGAACAGCUUGUCAUGUUUAAACUAAAUGUUAGCUAUUUUUAUCCUCUUCUGUGGCAAUACUAUCUGGUAAAAAAAAAGUACAAGAUACAAGAUAUUUUCCUAUCUUAUUCUCUUCUUUCUGUGUGAAAUACUAAUUUCGUAUUAUUAUUUGCAGGCUCAGAAGCAUUAAUGUGGCAAUGUGACCCUAAUAGUGAUUGUUGUGAGUAGAGAAGGUCCUUUUAGAUUUAAUUAUGCACUAGGGAAAAUAGAAACAACUUAGAAAUCUUUGUUUAGUACCAUACCAUAAACCUCACUGAUAUUGAAUUAGUAAGGUGCACUAGCUACUGGCUACAUUACUUGAUCUAUCUAAUAUACAACCUAUACUUUGUGUUCCACUUCAUUUCCCCAUCUUUUGACCACACAGUUCGGUAGAAAUUCCUUUUGGGUGUUUCCUGCCAAACUGACAAAAUAAAAUUCAAGCUUAGGAUUGUACUUACACAUGUAGCAACAUUUGUAAAUUCAAAAAACGGAAGCAAAAUCCACCUGCUGAUUCGGGGAACAAAAUGCACCUACUGACAUGUAAUUAAUUUUUGUGGUAACUUGCAGUUCAGGAGGGCCACCGCUCCCAACGAGGGUCACCGCAAGCUAGGAUCUCGCAGAUACGGGUUCUGGUCGUCCAAGUACAAGUGCAUGCGUGAUUACUUAGUACAUGUUGAGGAUUGAUAUUUUAUCUGAGUAUGACCAUUUCUGGGAAUGUGUCUUCACCUACCGGCUCACUUCCUCCAAUCUCACUUCCGAGGAGUUCCUGGAAUCCUGUUAGGCGAUCCUUCAAGGUUGCGUCAGAUAAUUACAAACUUUUCGGGGGAAGUCCAUUAAGUUCAAAGAAAGGGGACAUAUUUUUUCCAUGUUCACCUGGUAGACCACUUAAAUCUAGCAACCGGAGCGACAGUUUAAUCAUCUCGGAAUUGCAUAAAUGGACAUAAAGGUGAGAAAAGUGUUGUAUCAUCAAGUGUGUCUCAAUAGACUAAGUGGUUUUGAGGCUGAUGAGAAUAUAAAUACAUGGGGAAAUUUUAAGCUCUUGCUUUCUUACGAGAGAAAUGAUAUUCCGUAUGGAAGUGAUUUUGAGAAAUGCAGGGCCAUGCAGUCCUGCAGUGGUGGGUGGAGCCUCGGAUGCGGAGGAGUGCAAGGGCAACACUGUCCUCGAAGAAGAACCGGAGGGUGGCGGAGUAGCAGCACUACACAUCGUCCUCUGCCGAACCGGCCUCCAUGAUGUCGCUGCUGCAGCCCCAGCAUCAUGGUACACACGCUACUCGAUCUCGCUAAUCCGUCUCCAUCUUGAUUGGGAUUGCGCUGAUUUGGGGGUGCGUGCCGAGAGGGAUCCUUACCGUGCGUUUGUGUAGAUUAAUUUCUUUCAUAGCUCCUUGCCUCUCGUUUGUGGUAUUGGCGGUUGUAGGGCCCUCGUCUUGGUGAAAGAAAAGGAGCUUGCUUUGUUGAUUUUGUGCACGAUGUACAUUCUGUCAUGUAUUAGUUGAUAAGUUACUUCUCUUUGUAGAGUAACGAUUAAUGAUUGAAUCUAUGCGUCACCUUCCUUGAUUAUCCAAUCUAAUUUAUCUUCAAGUA